rnacentral:rRNA from 1 species
AACGAACGCUGGCGGCAUGCCUAACACAUGCAAGUCGAACGAGACCUUCGGGUCUAGUGGCGCACGGGUGCGUAACGCGUGGGAACCUGCCCUUAGGUUCGGAAUAACUCCCCGAAAGGGGUGCUAAUACCGGAUAAUGUCUUCGGACCAAAGAUUUAUCGCCUUUGGAUGGGCCCGCGUUGGAUUAGCUAGUUGGUAGGGUAAAAGCCUACCAAGGCGACGAUCCAUAGCUGGUCUGAGAGGAUGAUCAGCCACACUGGGACUGAGACACGGCCCAGACUCCUACGGGAGGCAGCAGUGGGGAAUAUUGGACAAUGGGCGAAAGCCUGAUGCAGCAAUGCCGGGUGAGUGAUGAAGGCCUUAGGGUUGUAAAGCUCUAUUACCCGGGAUGAUAAUGACAGUACCGGGAGAAUAAGCUCCGGCUAACUCCGUG